rnacentral:rRNA from 1 species
GACGUAGGGCGCGAGCGUGUCCGGAUUUAUUGGGCGUAAAGAGCUCGUAGGCGGCUUGUCGCGUCGCUGUGAAAACCCGCGGCUCAACCGCGGGCCCUGCAGCCCGAUACGGGCAGGCUAGAGUUCGGGUAGGGGGAGACUGGAAUUCCUGGUGUAGCGGUGAAAUGCGCAGAUAUCAGGAGGAACACCGGUGGCGAAGGGCGGGUC